rnacentral:lncRNA from 1 species
ACAGGCGGCUCUGUCGAUACAUAUGUUGUGGCCGAUAGAUUGAUAAAAAAUUUAUACCAAAAUUCUUCACUAAAACUAUAAAAACUCUUAUAUAUAUAUUUUAAUUAAUUUAAUUUUAUUAUUUACUUAUUAUAGAUAUAGCAGCUGGGUCAUCCAUCAGGCUAGCUGCAGUUAUGGGAGGCCACACACCAGUCUAAGAAGAUUUAUGAUUAUUUAAAUUCUAGAUCAUGCCAGAUCAUGGUAAGAAUUUCAAACUAUAUUUAUUAAGUUAUUACAGGAUCUGUAUGUAUAUUAGAACUAAUGUAUUUUUGAACUGUGCAGGUGGAUUAUGUGGAAUACAUCAUUGAGCGACACGGUGAUGAUCUGUCCACUCAACCUCUCCUUGACCUUGAGGGAUGGUUCAGGAUCAUCGAAGGGGUGAGUAGGAGUUGGGUCAUAGGAUUCAGCCACAGCUUCGAUCCUCUAGCGGUUUGAUACUCUUCAACAUCAUCACAGACCCUGACGUCCCAGACUUGGAGUGAUGCAUACGUGGAGAAGGUCGUACAGAGGCUUUUGAUUCAGUGAUCUCAGAGCUUUCAGGAUGCCAUCUGAUGAUAUGAUUGUGGAGAUUCUUUGAGAUCCAUAGCUGCACGAUCAGUUGGGCUCAUCCCAACCAUCAUAUCAUAUAAUUCUAUUAGUAAACUCUUUUAUUUGUUUUAAGUUUUCAUAUUUAGAAGCUUCACAUAUUUAGGCUUGAGCUGAAGAAGAGAAUCUAAGAGUUAAAAAUUUAAUCUAACUAUCUAAUUG